UAUGUGAGGAGGCAUCUGUAAGUCCCUGUAAGUUGGCAUUUGCUUUUCCUAUGAUCACAUGUUGCUUUGAUUGUUUGUAUGUGAGGAUACAACUGUAAGUCCCUGCAAGUUGGCAUUUGCUUUCCUAUGAUCAUAUGUUGGAUAUUGGUAUAAGUCCAGACAGAUUGGCAUCCGGUAUCCAAGUUUCUUUUUGUUUUAGGAGAUUAGUGUAAGACCAUUGAGUGGCAUCUGAUAUCCAGUUUUAUUUUAGGAGAUUGGUGUAAAUCCAUCUAUUGGUAUCCGGUAU
rnacentral:lncRNA from 1 species